UACAGAGGCCCCAAGCGUUACUGGGAAUCACUGGGCUUAAAGGGUGCGUAGGUGGUCCGUUAAGUUCGUUGUGAAAUCCCUGGGCUCAACCCAGGAAAUGCUUCGAAUACUGGCGGACUUGAGGCUAGUAGAGGUCACUGGAACUGACGGUGGAGCGGUGAAAUGCGUAGAUAUCAGGAGGAACACCGGUGGCGAAGGCGGUUCUCUGGGCAUGUCCUGACGCUGAGGAGCGAAAGUGUGGGGAGCGAACAGG
rnacentral:rRNA from 1 species